GCUGGGCGUGGUGGCGCACGCCUAUAAUCCCAGCACUUGGGAGGCUGAAGCAGGAGGAUCACUGAGUUCAGACCAGCCUGGGCUACAUAGUGAGUUCCAGGUCAGUCUCAACUGCAUAGUGAGACCUUGUCUCAAAAAAACAAAAUAAAUAAGCCCCCAAUGAUUAAUUAAUUAAUACCAGGAGGCUGAGGCAGGAGAAUCACUAUGAGUUUGAGACCAGCCUGGGCUAAAUAGUGAGUCAGUCUCAACUAUAUAGUGAGAUCUUGUCUCA
rnacentral:sRNA from 1 species